rnacentral:tRNA from 1 species
GGAGAGAUGGCUGAGUUGGACGAAGGCGCUCGCCUGGAAAGCGAGUAUACGGUGAUACCGUAUCGAGGGUUCGAAUCCCUCUCUCUCCGCCA